rnacentral:rRNA from 1 species
UUGAAAUGUUUUUUCGCCUAAGGAUAGAUCUGCGGCUGAUUAGGUCGUUGGUGGGGUAAUGGCCCACCAAGCCGAUGAUCGGUACGGGUUGUGAGAGCAAGAGCCCGGAGAUGGAACCUGAGACAAGGUUCCAGACCCUACGGGGUGCAGCAGGCGCGAAACCUUCGCAAUGUACGCAAGUGCGACGAGGGGAUCCCAAGUGUCAUUCUUAACGGGAUGGCUUUUCAUUAGUGUAAAAAGCUUUUAGAAUAAGAGCUGGGCAAGACCGGUGCCAGCCGCCGCGGUAACACCGGCAGCUCGAGUGGUAGCUGUUUUUAUUGGGCCUAAAGCGUUCGUAGCCGGUUUGAUAAGUCUUUGGUGAAAGCUUGUAGCUUAACUAUAGGAAUUGCUGGAGAUACUAUCAGACUUGAAGUCGGGAGAGGUUAGAGGUACUACCGGGGUAGGGGUGAAAUACUAUAAUCCUGGGAGGACCACCUGUGGCGAAGGCGUCUAACUGGAACGAUCUUGACGGUGAGUAACGAAAGCCAGGGGCGCGAACCGGAUUAGAUACCCGGGUAGUCCUGGCUGUAAACGAUGUGGACUUGGUGUUGGAAUGGCCUCGAGUUGUUCCGGUGCCGAAGGGAAGCUGUUAAGUCCACCGCC